GAAACAAUAAGAUUAAAAGUCCUCAAUAAAUAUGGUGCCAAUAAUGAAGAAAACUUUUUGUAGAAAUCAUUUGGGAUACCAUCUGGGCCAGGAGAUUUAAAUGAUUUAAGAGAUGAUAUGCAAGAUAUUAUUUCAUUUGCCAAAAAAUCAGAUGCCAAUUCCUCCAAUCUAUCUGCAGGGGGGGAAGGCAAUGAAAUAGACGAAAGGAAAGAAGAAAUUAUGUCCGAAGUUGAUUGAGCAUUUCUCUUUAAUAGUGAGGCUUAUAGGGGCAUGAUCUGACCACUCAAUUGGCAUGAUACUGGCAUCCUGAAUUAAGUGACACAGGAAUACUGGGGUAUACAGUUUCAGGAGUCGAUGCUCUACAUGGUUAUCUACUUGGUGAUGACCAUCCUAGGUGAAUGCCUAAAGGGAGGAGUUGGUGUCGCUCACAUUGAGUAUAAAUUCAUGGUAAUUCAUGCUGACCCCUCUGAAAAGUGCUAUGUCACCUGCCAGAGGAUCCUUUAUAUUAUUGCAUAGAUCAUCUGCAUUGGAACAGCAAUAAAUGCAGUAUAUUCGGACUGAAGUGCGUUGGGAAGAAACCGAAUUUUGUAAUUGGCCACCUGUUCCAUAGCCCCGGGAGAAGUAUUGUGUAGUGAGUUGCGAGCAGUGGUUACUGUGGCAGCCUUCAUUGUGCCUUAGCAACUGUAUGAUCCAGCAAUGUGUUCAAGAUUGAUUCUGAAUAACAGGAACCAACAGUACAGUAUAAUGACAUGGACACAAUACUGCACAUUAACGUGACAUGCAACACUUGGCUAUUCUGGAAAUGUAGUUCUCUAUGUUCGCUAUGUCAGGGGAGGGUUAAUGCAUUUAAAUAACAUCUUAAUCCUUUUCCUAGGGGAACAUAGAAGAAGAAAUGCUUUAACUACACAAUAUAUUUUUAUUAGAGAA